rnacentral:lncRNA from 1 species
UGAGUAACAAGGCUGCUACAGGGCUGUCCCCAUCUAUAUGGUGGGAGGGAGGAGCUGGGGAGAGAGCUGAGCACUCUAUAAAGGGACUCUGUCUGCACUCAGUCUGAAGAUGGGCAGCAAGGAAGAAGGAGGUGCUGGACCAAGAGCCAAAAGAGACAGUGUGUCUCUGAGAUAGUCCUGGCUGAUGGGGUGUGCCAGGGUCCGCAGAGUUGGCUGGAACUCCACUACAGACUCUGGGAGGUACCUGAACCAGCUGCUCAGCUUCACCUCAUCCUCCAGAACCCCACCUUUCCCUAGAAGCACAUGGGAUGGGGGAAAUCAGCUCAGCACAGGGGCGGACUCCUGCCUGUAAACAGAGCUGCUGCUGGCUGGGUGCUCACCUGCUGGCUGCUGGCCUGUAGUGCUCUCCAGGGUGGAGAAGAGUAAGCCACAGGGUAGGGCUGGAUCUGGUGGCACCCCUUCAGGCAUCAUGUAGAAGAGUGCAUGAGCCUGGUACAGGGUAGUGGUUAGCAGCUCCAUCAGUGAACACACCUGAGCUUUUAUACCUGCACCUGCAAAAGAAGAAAAAGCCUUUCAAUGAAGGCAGCCCCUUUAACAGAAGUAUGACGAUGCUGUCAGUCUACCAAAGCCCUCCAGGAAUGGGCUGGAGGGCAUGGGUCUCAGCCCCAUGCAUCACCUGCUUCCUGGUUAAAGAUAAGCUUGGCUUUAGUCCCCGAGCCCUGUUAAUUCAGCAUUGUGG